UUGGAAAUUUGAUUUGGAACAUCCAUCCAUCAAUUUUACAAACUUGCUUAACCCCUUUAGAAUUCACGAACAUGCUGGAGCCGAUCCUAGCCAAUGUUGGGUGGAGGCUGGAACACCCAUGAUGAUUUGCCAGUACAAUUCAGGGCAGUUUUUGGAAUACUACGUUGCCAAUUCUGAUGGGUGGAGAAGAUUUGCAGUCUCUUGGUUGUCAUCUUACUUAAGACCAGAUCUUUCUGGACAAGACGCCCAUCUAUCACAGAGCCACUUGUAUGUAAACGACUCCACAAGUUCUAUUGUGUUCCAAUCACCCCUCAGACAGGUUUUAUCAGACCGUGAAAGGAUCUUGAACAAAGACCACUGGAGCAACACAAACAGUCCCAAAUAAGGAUCUACUCCCUCGAAGUUACAGUGGCUCUUUCAAAUCUACUUUGUUGAUUUUAUCGAGACCAAGCUUUCUGACGCAGGCCAGUACAUUUCUCACUAGAAUCCCUUAAUAGUGUUGGGAUUUUAUUGAACAGUGUCCUUGGGUUUCAUGAAAGGCGUUUUAAAUAAAAUGGAUUAUUAUUAUUAUUACUCUGCACAGAUCAAGACACCCCAUGCUAUGCUGCAAAGCAGCCCCAGAACAUAAUAGAGCCUCCUCCAUGUUUCACAGUAGGGGCCGUGUGCUUCUCUUGAUAUGCUUCAUUUUCCGUCUGUGAACAUAGAGCUGAUGUGCCCUUCCAAAAAGUUCAAUUUUUGUCUCAGCUGUACAUAGGACAUUUUCUCAGUAUCUUUGUGGCUCGUCAACAUUUAGUCUGGCAAAUUCCAGUAUGUUUUUUUUAGAAUUUGUUUUCAACCCUGGUGUCCUCCUUGGUCGUCUCUCAAGCCCACUUUGUGUCAAACGAUGAUGGAUGGUGUGAUCCGACACUGAUUAUCCUUGAGCUUGAACUUCACCUUUUAUCUUUUUUUUAGACCUGUCUAGGCUUUUUUGUUAUCAUUUUUACUAUCCUUCUCUUUAAUUUGUCUUCAUUUUCCUCUUGAGGCCUCAACCAGGGAUGUUGGCUAAAGUCCCAUGGAUCCUAAAUUUCUGAACAAUAAGUACAACAAGAACAUCAAGCUUCUUGGAGAGGAUCUUAUAGCCUUUUCUUUUAACAUGCUUGUCUUUAAUUUUCUUUCUAAUAAACUCUUUCUUUGCUUCCUCUGUUCCAUGUUGAGUGUGGUACACACCACGUCACAACAAGGCACAGUGCCUACCUGUAGCCCUUUACAUAGGCCCACUGACUGAUUACAAAAUUGCAGACACCUAUGAUGCCAAUUAGUGGUC
rnacentral:lncRNA from 1 species